GAGUUUGAUCCUGGCUCAGAACGUACGCUGGCGGCACGCCUAACACAUGCAAGUCGAACGAAGUAGCAAUACUUAGUGGCAGACGGGUGAGUAACAUGUGGGUAUCUGCCCUUUGGCCUGGAAUAACACGAGGAAACUUGUGCUAAUACCGGAUAAGUCUUUACGGAGAAAGCUUUAUGCACCAUUGGAUGAGCCUGCACUUGAUUAGUUUGUUGGUGGGGUAAUGGCCUACCAAGACUGUGAUCAAUAGCUGAUUUGAGAGGAUGAUCAGCCACAUUGGGACUGAGACACGGCCCAAACUCCUACGGGAGGCAGCAGUGGGGAAUCUUGCACAAUGGAGGAAACUCUGAUGCAGCGAUGCCGCGUGAGUGAAGAAGGCCCUUGGGUUGUAAAGCUCUUUCGUCGGGAAGAAAAUGACUGUACCCGAAUAAGAAGGUCCGGCUAACUUCGUGCCAGCAGCCGCGGUAAUACGAAGGGACCUAGCGUAGUUCGGAAUUACUGGGCUUAAAGAGUUCGUAGGUGGUUGAAAAAGUUAGUGGUGAAAUCCCAGAGCUUAACCCUGGAACUGCCAUUAAAACUUUUCAGCUAGAGUAUGAUAGAGGAAAGCAGAAUUUCUAGUGUAGAGGUGAAAUUCGUAGAUAUUAGAAAGAAUACCAAUUGCGAAGGCAGCUUUCUGGAUCAUUACUGACACUGAGGAACGAAAGCAUGGGUAGCGAAGAGGAUUAGAUACCCUCGUAGUCCAUGCCGUAAACGAUGUGUGUUAGACGUUGGAAAUUUAUUUUCAGUGUCGCAGGGAAACCGAUAAACACACCGCCUGGGGAGUACGACCGCAAGGUUAAAACUCAAAUGAAUUGACGGGGACCCGCACAAGUAGUGGAGCAUGUGGUUUAAUUCGAAGAUACGCGCAGAACCUUACCAACACUUGACAUGUUCGUCGCGACUCUAAGAGAUUAGAGUUUUCGGUUCGGCCGGACGAAACACAGGUGCUGCAUGGCUGUCGUCAGCUCGUGUCGUGAGAUGUUGGGUUAAGCCCCGCAACGAGCGCAACCCUCACUUUUAGUUGCCAUCAUUAAGUUGGGCACUCUGAAAGAACUGCCAGUGAUAAGCUGGAGGAAGGUGGGGAUGACGUCAAGUCCUCAUGGCCCUUACGUGUUGGGCUACACACGUGCUACAAUGGUAUCUAUAACAGGAAGCAAGACUGCGAAGUUAAGCAAAUCCCUAAAAGAUACCUCAGUUCGGAUUGCACUCUGCAACUCGAGUGCAUGAAGCUGGAAUUACUAGUAAUCGUGGAUCAGCGUGCCACGGUGAAUGCGUUCCCGGGUCUUGUACACACCGCCCGUCACACCAUGGGAGUUGGUUCUACCUUAAGGCAAGGUUUCAAACCCUUGACCACGGUAUAGUCAGCGACUGGGGUGAAGUCGUAACAAGGUAACC
rnacentral:rRNA from 1 species